AUAAAAUUCAGAUUAAAAAUAAUCAAUUAAAAUGUUUGGUCCUUUCGUACUCAAACAUUUUAACAAAUUAAAGAUAGAAACCGUCC
rnacentral:rRNA from 1 species